CCUACGGGGGGCAGCAGUGGGGAAUAUUGCACAAUGGGGGAAACCCUGAUGCAGCGACGCCGCGUGAGUGAAGAAGUAUUUCGGUAUGUAAAGCUCUAUCAGCAGGGAAGAAAUAGCGACCUUUGGGUCGCCAGACGGUACCUGAUUAAGAAGCCCCGGCUAACUACGUGCCAGCAGCCGCGGUAAUACGUAGGGGGCAAGCGUUAUCCGGAUUUACUGGGUGUAAAGGGAGCGUAGACGGCAGCGCAAGUCUGAAGUGAAAUGCCGGGGCUUAACCCCGGAACUGCUUUGGAAACUGUGCAGCUAGAGGGCAGGAGAGGUAAGUGAAAUGCCUAGGGUAGCGGUGAAAUGCGUAGAUAUUAGGAGGAACAACAGUGGCGAAGGCGGCUUACUGGACUGUAACUGACGUUGAGGCUCGAAAGCGUGGGGAGCAAACAGGAUUAGAUACCCUUGUAGUC
rnacentral:rRNA from 1 species